rnacentral:rRNA from 1 species
UACGGAGGAUGCAAGCGUUAUCCGGAAUUAUUGGGCGUAAAGCGUCCGCAGGUGGUUAUCCAAGUCUGCUGUUAAAGCGCGAGGCUUAACUUCGUACAGGCAGUGGAAACUGGGUGACUGGAGUAUGGUAGGGGUAGCGGGAAUUCCAGUGUAGCGGUGAAUGACGCAGAUAUCAGGAGGAACACCGGUGGCGAAGGCGGGUCUCUGGGCCGUAACUGACGCUGAGGAGCGAAAGCGUGGGGAGCGAACAGG